rnacentral:rRNA from 1 species
CAGCCGCCGCGGUAAUACGUAGGGCGCAAGCGUUGUCCGGAAUUAUUGGGCGUAAAGAGCUCGUAGGCGGUCUGUCGCGUCUGGUGUGAAAUCCCGAGGCUCAACCUCGGGCUUGCAUCGGGUACGGGCAGACUAGAGUGCGGUAGGGGAGACUGGAAUUCCUGGUGUAGCGGUGGAAUGCGCAGAUAUCAGGAGGAACACCGAUGGCGAAGGCAGGUCUCUGGGCCGCAACUGACGCUGAGGAGCGAAAGCAUGGGGAGCGAACAGGAUUAGAUACCCCAGUAGUCCCUGUCUCUUAUAA